UGGGGAAUUUUGGACAAUGGGCGCAAGCCUGAUCCAGCCAUGCCGCGUGCAGGAUGAAGGCCUUCGGGUUGUAAACUGCUUUUGUACGGAACGAAAAGGUGCCUUCUAAUAAAGGGCGCUCAUGACGGUACCGUAAGAAUAAGCACCGGCUAACUACGUGCCAGCAGCCGCGGUAAUACGUAGGGUGCGAGCGUUAAUCGGAAUUACUGGGCGUAAAGCGUGCGCAGGCGGUUUUGUAAGACAGAGGUGAAAUCCCCGGGCUCAACCUGGGAACUGCCUUUGNGACUGCAAGGCUGGAGUGCGGCAGAGGGGGGUGGAAUUCCACGUGUAGCAGUGGAAUGCGUAGAGAUGUGGAGGAACACCGAUGGCGAAGGCAGCCCCCUGGGCCUGUACUGACGCUCAUGCACGAAAGCGUGGGGAGCAAACA
rnacentral:rRNA from 1 species